rnacentral:rRNA from 1 species
UACGAAGGGGGCUAGCGUUGCUCGGAAUUACUGGGCGUAAAGCGCACGUAGGCGGUCUUUUAAGUCGGUGGUGAAAUCCUGGAGCUCAACUCCAGAACUGCCUUCGAUACUGGAAGACUUGAGUCCGGGAGAGGUGAGUGGAACUGCGAGUGUAGAGGUGAAAUUCGUAGAUAUUCGGCGGAACACCAGUGGCGAAGGCGACUCACUGGCCCGAUACUGACGCUGAGGCGCGGAAGCGUGGGGAGCAAACAGG